rnacentral:lncRNA from 1 species
GGAGAGCUCAGCAAAUUGGAUCAGUAAGUUAAGCUGGACAUUGGCAUCGCUGAGGGUGUCCCACCUUUUUGGUUUUCCCAAGAAGUCACGUCGACAUGUCUCUAAAAAUUCAGAAAUGCAUUUUAUUUAAAAAAAUGUUUGGUCUAAAAAAAGGAUCAAGAGAUCAGCGUGCACAUCAGGCACGUAGUCAUGGGCUUGAUCUUGGAGCAGUUGCACCGAAGCGCUCUGUUUACAGUGUCCAUCAUCAGAGGAACAGCGUUAAGCUCAUUUAGCAGAGCGACAGGAGUGAAGCGGUUCAGGGCAGAUGGCAUUUCUGUAGUGCAGACGUCACCGGUCAGAGCAUCACGCUGUCCUGAAAAGAAGAGCACUGAAAUCUGCUUGGAGGAUCAGUGGGACAAACAAGCUGUUUCUUGUCACAGACAUACAACCAACGGCUGCUGGCAAAGCGGUAGUUCACCCACAAAGAAAUCCCAUUUGAAUUGACUGACCAAUUACUCACCAUCUAAACUUUACAAUUAGAAGUGUUUGAUUCAUGUGAGUUCAGACAUUAAGUAUUUUAGAUUAUAACUACGAAUGUUUUACAUUUGCGUUUUUUUCUGAACUAAAGUGGUUGUUUUUUAAACAAUAUGCGCAUCAGACAUUUAGAUGAGUGUCUAUUUGGUGAUUUGAAUGUUUUCAUGCAUGUCCUUUAAGCAUUUCCAAUGUUUUAAAUACAUAAUGAAAUAUCCUGCAA